UAAAAUGUACAUAUCGAUAUUGGUAAACAAGUGUACAUGUGGAUAUUAAAUCUUGGUGUAUAUGUCAAUAUUGGUAAACAUGAGAUAUCAUAUAUGUACACAUAAGAAGUUUUUGUAUGUACACAGCGAUGUACAUAUAUUGAAAAUAUACUAGUAUACACCGGUGUACAUGUGAGUCGUUGUACAAGUGGACAACGAUAUGUGUGUGUACAUUUGAAUGCUAUUUAAAUUUGCAAAUGUUAUAACUUACAAAUGUAUGUUAUAUAUCAUUAUGGAUUGCAUUAGGAAAACCAUUUGGGCCUGCUCCUUCCGGGUACCAUAAGCAUCUCUUUGAAACCAUCAUCAUCGUGGAACCAAAAACAAAGGAUGUCUCGUUUCAUGUACAAAAGAAUUGUUGUACAUGUGGAUAGUGUAUUUUUAUGUACAAUAUACCAUGUACAUAUAAAUCAUUUAUUUUUUCAUGUUUUUUUAAUGAGGAUCAUUUUCGUAAUUUUAACUUCAUCUUCCCCAAAAUUAAUUAGAGUUUUCUGCAAUUUUCCUCUACGAUCGCCAGUUAUUAUUCUCAUCUUAGUCAUCUGUUUUUUUUUUUUGCUUAUUAUACUUUUAAACAUGUAUAAAUAUCAUAUAAGACACGAUUUCAAGCUUUAAAUGAUUUUGUUUCUACAACAAAAACGUAAAUCUUUCUUUUUCUUUUUAUUACUGUCAUAGCGCGAGGCGGAUUAGUUGCGGAGCAUGGUGUGAAAGAAGAAACUCUUCGAUAGUUUUCGGCGAAGCUAUUUUCUUCACCGAUGUUUU
rnacentral:lncRNA from 1 species